rnacentral:tRNA from 1 species
UGGGGCGUGGCCAAGUGGUAAGGCACCGGGUUUUGAUCCCGCUAUUCGGAGGUUCGAGUCCUUCCGUCCCAG